AGACUCUACGCUGCUGCCAGCUUCUCUGGAGGAUGGAGAAGCUGACAGAAUACAGUGGGUUACAGAACGAACAGGGAUGAUCCUGGGACUGUCAGGGAAGUCAAGGAAACAAGUUUAAUUCAACGGAGGUUCUGGGCACUGAAUUCAGGUCCAUGAGCUUGGCCGGCAAGCACUUCCUGCCUCAGCAUUCCCCGGUGGUGCUAUGGAGUCUUUAAAGAGGUAGUGAUGCCAUCAGCAGAGGCCCUACAUCAGCAGUGCUAGUGUCCAUGCAAGAAGAGGACACAGGGGCACACAUGCUCACACUGGUGAGUCUAUGGGAAGGCACGAGGAGAGGACAGCCAUCUAGACACCAAGGAGAGUGAGCAGGAAGACCCCACUGACAGCUGGAUCUCAGACUUCUGAUCUCUAAGUUUUGGAGAAAAUAAAAUUCUAUUGUUGAAGUGC
ensembl:lincRNA 1700066J03Rik RIKEN cDNA 1700066J03 gene